GGCUCGGUAGCGCGUGGAGCGCAUCUGCACACAAUUGACGUUUGUGAGCAAGCCCUUGAGCAGAUAUUCCCCGUUCGACUCGGGGCUGGGCCA